rnacentral:tRNA from 1 species
UAAGUGUGGUGUAGUGGUUUGAGUGUUGGACUGUGACUCUGGAGACCAGGGUUCGAAUCCCUGUUCAG